rnacentral:misc_RNA from 1 species
GAUGAAGAACGUAGCGAAAUGCGAUAAGUAAUGUGAAUUGCAGAAUUCAGUGAAUCAUCGAAUCUUUGAACGCACAUUGCGCCCCUUGGCACCCCAGGGGGCAUGCCUGUUCGAGCGUCACAAAAUCAAAUCACGCUUGCCGUGGUCAUGGUGGAAGUGAGCACGUCUCUAGACGUUCACUCCGCUGAAUGGAUGGUGCAGAUGGAGCACUGAUGAUCGAACGUAGUACUUAAUAUUCGUUUGACCAUCGGACUCUCAAACUUGCCCUGAUGAUGGGAGAUCCCCCAUAUCCAACUUUCGAAGGUUGACCUCGGAUCAGGUAGGGAUACCCGCUGAACUUAAGCAUAUCAAUAAGCGGAGGA